rnacentral:lncRNA from 12 species
GUUGAAAUCUAGGGUUAGAUAGCAAUAUAAUAAAGACAAAUAGAGUAAAUCCAGAAGAAGUUUGUGCUGCAGUUUGUGCAGUAAAAGCAUCAUAUUUCCUAUGUGGAAGAGGAGUGGCACGACUCAGACUUGAGCAGUUUAAGCUUUGUAUCGGUGUCAGGCCGUAGUCCGAGGAGGGCUGGCUCUAGGUGGUGGCAGAGCAGGCAUGAUGGAAACAAUCUGCCAAGCUUACGCCAGCAGAGGUGCAGGCUGACUACGGGAGCUUUCCCAGCCACCAAUUCUCGCUGCAUCAGUCUCUUACUCAUUUCUACUCCUCUUCCUCAACCCCUUCCUCUUGCUGCUGGAUUCCCAUGGCACCUUCCUUGUCAUUCUUACCCUGGGCCAAUCCCUACUUGCUCCACCCCGUUGGAAAUCCCCUGUCACUGGAUGCUCCAUUGGCCCAUGUGACCCUUUCUCCUCCCCCGCUUCCCUCAUUGGUUGUAACCCUGUGAGACCCUGCCCUCGCUUCUCCACUAAAGACCCUUUAUUGGCCAAUUGUUUGCACGGACCCCUUGGUGUGCCUCCAUGUUUAAUCCCGAGCACAGCAAUGGCUGAGGCUCUUAGGCCCUGAGCCCUCCAGGCUGAAUUAGCCCUUUGGAACCUCAGGAGCAGAGAGCCUCCCUCGCCUCCUCUACCCGAUCCU